rnacentral:rRNA from 1 species
UAAUACCGGCGGCUCGAGUGGUGGCCACUAUUACUGGGCUUAAAGCGUCCGUAGCUUGGUUGUUAAGUCUCCUGGGAAAUCCAUCGGCUCAACCGAUGGGCGUUCAGGAGAUACUGGCAACCUAGGGACCGGGAGAGGUGAGAGGUACUCCAGGGGUAGGAGUGAAAUCCUGUAAUCCUUGGGGGACCACCUGUGGCGAAGGCGUCUCACUAGAACGGCUCCGACAGUGAGGGACGAAAGCUGGGGGAGCAAACCGG